GCGCGUAUGGUGUAAUGGUGAGCAUUUUUGCCUUCCAAGCAGAAGGAGUGGGAUCGUGACCCACUACGCGCUCUA
rnacentral:tRNA from 1 species